GCAGCAUUUUCCAGACGACGUUUGCAUAUGCAGGAAGGAAUUGUAUGAAAGAUGAUGAAUGGUAUAUUCGAGAACGUGGAGGUACGAAUGUGGGGGUCUUUAUAAAUGGUAAUUUUUGUUGAACAGUGUGUUGUGAUGGGGCAACCUAUCCUUAUCUAGUUUUGGAGUUUAAAUAGGAAGUGCCAUUCUGGUACGAGGCCUGACCGGAGGCUUUUAAUGUGGUACCACGGGUAACCAGGAGCCCAAGGAACUUGUUCUGUUCUGGUAUAGUAGGUGAGGCCCUUCGGGGAGUAUUGUGGUGGUUGUGGUUUAACACCCAAAUGCGGGUAGAGCAUCGCUCGACGCGGAGUUGCGUCAUACAACCGGGUUCCGUGACCCAGAUUACGGAAGAGGUUUAGAUAGUCCUCGUGCCAAACCAAGGUAGAAGUCACAACCAAACAGUCGUGUCUUUAAUUGGUACCUGAGGAAUUGUUCCAAGGGGGCGGUGAUUGACGCUUGAAUUAAUCCUAUACUAGGAACCGUGAGAUUAAGCCAUCGCGGCAGGUGCUCACGUUAAGCCCACUGACUUUCAUGUCCCUAUCUACUAUCUAGCGAAACCACAGCCAAGGGAACGGGCUUGGAAUAAUUAGCGGGGAAAGAAGACCCUUUUGAGCUUGACUCUAAUCUGGCAGUGUAAGGAGACAUAAGAGGUGUAGAAUAAGUGGGAGAUAUUAGACUUCGGUUUGGUAUCGACAAUGAAAUACCACUACUCUUAUUGUUUCCUUACUUACUUGAUUAAAUGGAACGUGUAUCAUUUCCUAGCCAUUAUACGGAUAUAAUUAUUAUGUCUUAUGGUAUUGGGUUUUGAUGCAAGCUUCUUGAUCAAAGUAUCACGAGUUUGUUAUAUAAUCGCAAACAAAUUCUUUAAUGAGAGAAUGCAUUUAUGUAUUAUUGAUUUAAAAAUUUGGUAUAACUCCAAUUACUCAGGUAUGAUCCAAUUCAAGGACAUUGCCAGGUAGGGAGUUUGACUGGGGCGGUACAUCUCUCAAAUAAUAACGGAGGUGUCCCAAGGCCAGCUCAGUGCGGACAGAAACCACACAUAGAGCAAAAGGGCAAAUGCUGACUUGAUCUCGGUGUUCAGUACACACAGGGACAGCAAAAGCUCGGCCUAUCGAUCC
rnacentral:ncRNA from 1 species